rfam:Oryza glumipatula chromosome 9, whole genome shotgun sequence.
UAUAAGUGCAGUUGUGGUUUUCCAUGUUGAAUGUUUGACCGUUUGUCUUAUUUGAAAAAAAAUAUGAUUAGUAUUUUUAUUGUUAUUAGAUGAUAAAACAUGAAAAAUACUUUACAUGUGAAUAAUUUUUUUCCCAAUUUGUUCAUAAAUUUUUCAAAUAAGACAGAUAAUCAAACGUUCGACACGGAAACCCAUAACGACAAUUAUA